UACAGAGGUCUCAAGCGUUGUUCGGAUUCAUUGGGCGUAAAGGGUGCGUAGGCGGCGCGGUAAGUCGGGUGUGAAAUCUUGGAGCUUAACUCCGAAACUGCAUUCGAUACUGCCGUGCUUGAGGACUGGAGAGGAGACUGGAAUUUACGGUGUAGCGGUGAAAUGCGUAGAUAUCGUAAGGAAGACCAGUGGCGAAGGCGGGUCUCUGGACAGUUCCUGACGCUGAGGCACGAAGGUCAGGGGAGCAAACG
rnacentral:rRNA from 1 species